UUUCUACUCCCUCCGUCCAAAAAUACUUGUCAUCAAAAUGGAUAAAAAGAGAUGUAUCUAAAACUAAAAUAUGUCUAGAUACAUUUCCUUUUAUCCAUUUUGAUGACAAGUAUUUCCAGACGGAGGGAGUAUUUG
rnacentral:pre_miRNA from 1 species